rnacentral:lncRNA from 1 species
GUUCUUAAUCCCCAACUAUUAAUUUUAUUGCGAUUUCCCCAAAUUAUCCGUUGCAAUGAGAAGUGGAAUAGGUAACGUCUACUUCCCAUCUCCAUCUAUUUAUUUGGUUGGUGUUCUGUUCUUCUCAAUUCUCAAAUCGGGCCUGCAAAUCAGUGUUUCACUCGACCUCCUUCGUUUCCAGUUGCCGCCUUGCCGGUCCUGCGACCCGUGUGUGCCAGAAUCAAGUGGAGCCUGGAUCCCUGGAGACCCUGCUCGUCAGAGAGAUUCGACUGCUCGGCAGGCCAGACGAGGCUAUGAGUUCUUAGUCGCCAAAGCAACAAGCGUCUCCUCCCCGCCUCCCCCUGAUCUGCUUCUCACAUCAAUCAAAGACAGGUUGUUUCAUUCCUUUUUGACCGCAAGUUCAGUUUUUAGUUCCUUAUUUGUCGCUUAGUUUACUUUCUGCAAUGUCCUCUAGAAUUAGAAAGUGCCCGUCAGGAUAUGAAAAACGUCAGAAAAAGAAAAAAAAAGAGAAACUUGAUGAAUCUCUGAAAGGUGGUCUUGAUAUAUUUUUUGUUAAAGAACCAAAGGUUUCUUCUGAAAAUCAAAGUGUAGAUGCUAAUACUAAUGAUGUGCACGACGAUGACUCUAUCCAUACUAAAACUCAGGGCGAAGAGGUUAAUGUUG